CAUAAGCAAAAGAGCUGCCAUUCGUGGUGCAGCUGAAAACAUGUCUUCGUAGCAAUGGCACCAAGACAAACUGAUGUGGGGAUGCCCACACUGGAGUUUUGAAGCUGCAGGCAAAGUUUAAGCAUGAUAUUUGUCUCUGUUUCAGGGUAGCUGAGACCACUGGGUGAAGACCCCAGGGAGAUUUGCUGCACUAAAAGGGUAUCUGCUGUGGCUGUACUGUGCCACACACCUCACUGGGAGCCAACCCCAGCCAAGAGGAGAGCAGCUUCACAAGGGAAGAUGUGGAAAGGGAGAGGAAAUUAAGCUGAGCUGCACUUUCCAUGCAGUACUGUGGUGUCCAUGCAGAGGACAUAGCUGCAUGUGAAGGGAUGAUGAUCAUGCAAAGGUUACUUGAGAAUGCUAGGUGUCUUAACUUUUAUGGGCGAUGAGGUGGUGGAAGAGAGCUUUUCUUCCAGCCUUCCUCUGCCCUUUUCUAUCUGCAGAACCACCAGCAAACCUCACUGGUCUGGAAGGAGUGGACAUGAGCUGGCAGUGGCAGUUCCUCAUCUCAUGGGUUCAAAGAGCUGUUUCUUGCCUUGGCUUGCCUCUAGCCCAAAACCUCUCAUUACUGGGAUAACCCCAAAGGCUUUUCCAGAGCAAAAGCCACUAAAGCACUGUCUGCAGGGCUCAAGGGGAACUUCAAAAGGGGACUACAGUACAGCCUGAUCCUCCAUCCAUUUUAGUAACAGUCUCUAGAGCUGGGAAGUAAAACAUGUGCAAAUAAGUUUUGAGAAUAAAGGGCUAGUUCAUUGUGAGGAAGUGAACUCAGAACACUUACGUAUACAGACUACAAACUUCGGUUUCAUAAUUUCUGUUAAACCCCAGAACAAUCUUUGUAUAAUUCAACAGUGAGAAAAUCAACCUUGUUUGUCUCCUUAGCAUCCCUUCCGCCCCGGGCACUUCCUGCUGAAUAGAAGCUAUUCAGCUGUUCUUCUAUUUUCAUGUACUAAAUUCACUUCUAGCUGCUGUGAAAGAAGGAAGUGAGUAGACGGAGUUAAUACCCUGUGGUGUGACAGUGGGAAAGGACUGAAAAGACAUGAACUUGCUCGUUCUGCUCUUUGUGAAGACAGACUUUUGUUCUUCAUGUCACGUAUGAAGUUUUGAAGAGGGUAAGUCAGCAGAUACACAUUAGCUUCAGUAACGUGAAAUUGUACAGCUUAAGAACCUGGCUCUAAGACUGUCAACACUGAAAACUUGCAUUGCAACAGAGCUGCAAUAGUCUGAAAAUGUUACUUCCUUUUCCCCAUGUGUCACUCUCAGUAGUUUGGUCUUUGGUAAAUGUCAGGUGUGGGGGUUGAUUCUGCGCUUCUUGGCUUUCAUGCUUUAGCCAACUUGAGACAUGGCUGAUGGUGUAGUUUUAUCACAUGCUAACAUUAACACGCUGAUAAAAGGAAGGAGCAUAGUACACACUUACAGAUUUGCCCUAAAUACUGUAGGCAAAUGUAAUCUUUCGGCUGAUAAUGCAGUCCAUAAGGAAUAAAGGUAAAAAGUAUAGAUUACAAUGGCAAGGAGACCAGAGGAGUGCUCUGCUCUAUCAAGAGACCUCAGGGCCUCUCCCUUCUGGUGAGGGAGAGGAGGGAAACGAGGAUUAAGUUCAAAGAUUUGGUUGUCCACCUAAUAUGACAAUUAGAAACCAGUAAGCUUUGUCAAUAAGCACUAUGGCUCCUUGUCAGUUCUGCUUGCUGGAGUUCUUUGCUUUUCCAGGAGCCAGCAGUACCUACCAGUGGUGUUCCCCACUACCAGACCUUUUCUAAUGGCAGAAACUCAGGAUGAUCCAGUGGGGUGAGAUCACAGAAAUGGCUGGUUUCUGGAUGCUGUAAUAUUGCAUGUGCUCCCACAGCUAAAUAAAGCAGAUUUGCUGAUGUUUUGCAUUCCCUAGCUCAGCUCCAGCCCCACUCCCUGUAAGGAAAUGAAGUGCUUGGGUGCUACCUUACAACUCAUAGGAAAGAUGCCAUCCCACUCCCCAGAGGAACAGACAGUGAAUGGCAAGAGGUAGCCCUGCACUAGAGCAGUGUCUGGGUUUAGCUACAGCCCAGGCAGUAGCAAGGUUUGCAUCCCUACUUACACAGUGACCCCAAAAGUCCAGCCUGGCUUCAGGGAGGCUGUAAGCGCAAGACAGAGUCGCAGCUGCUGUGCCUGAAAAGCAGACUCAAAGGCUGCUUUUCCCUGUGGGAACCUUCCCCUGGCUUGAGCCAGUUCACCUGGGA